rnacentral:misc_RNA from 1 species
GAUGAAGAACGUAGCGAAAUGCGAUAAGUAGUGUGAAUUGCAGAAUUCAGUGAAUCAUCGAAUCUUUGAACGCACAUUGCGCCCCUUGGUAUUCCAUGGGGCAUGCCUGUUCGAGCGUCAUUUACACCCUCAAGCUCUGCUUGGUGUUGGGCGUCUGUCCCGCUGCUUUGCGCGGACUCGCCUCAAAGGUAUUGGCAGCGAUCAUGCCAGCUUCUCGCGCAGCACAUUGCGCUUCUUGAAGUUCUGGUGGAUCAGCGUCCAUUAAGCUUACCUUCAUGACUUGACCUCGGAUCAGGUAGGGAUACCCGCUGAACUUAAGCAUAUCAAAAGCGGAGGA